GGUAACCUAGGGGUUUAACGGCUUGUUGUACGUGCUAAGUGCAAUCGUAAUGCUCUACGAAAGUAAGUAUUUAUCUUAGUAUAUUUAUAUAAUAAAUAACACUUUUGCACUCUUAUCAUUUUCGCACUAAAUUGCUAGAGACUAGCAAUAAGCUAGUUGGGGGGUGUGAUGAGAGCAGAAAAGUGCAAUCAUCGUACCACCUUAAUUAGUAUUAUAGUUAAUUUUUAAUGAUAAAAUUAAUGAAUUAACAUUGUAUUUGUGUUUGAGUGCAAGGAAUCUAAGAGACCCAAUAACAUUGGGUUUGAGUCCAAUGCCCGACAGCCCGAGCUCAACAAAUUCCCCAGCNN
rnacentral:lncRNA from 1 species